GAGCGAGGAGCGCCUUCUUCGCCCGCUUCCCGCCGCCGCGCGCCCGCCGCCAUUUUGUGAGGGUUCCUCAAGGGGGUGGAGGGCGGCGGGGCCGGGCCUGGGGGCGGCCCUGUGUGUUUAACGGGGCCCAUGAAGCUGUGUGGAGAGAAAGAGGCCGGAUGGUGCCCGGAGCUGCUGCUGUGAUUUGAAUUGCUCACGUGAGCGUUCGCUGCAAUCCCAUUGGCUGUCAGCACGCGCUCCGGAAGUAGCUCCGGCGUCAAAGACAGGAAGUGACGCCAUUUUGAUGCUGCGGCCUCAGGAAGUGACGCCAUUUUGAGGUGGCGGAGGCCGGAAGUGACGCCAUUUUGAGGCGGCGGAGGCCCGAGGCGGGAGCGGCGGUUUG